rnacentral:rRNA from 1 species
GAUGAACGCUGGCGGCGUGCUUAACACAUGCAAGUCGAACGGAAAGGCUCCUGCUUGCAGGGGUACUCGAGUGGCGAACGGGUGAGUAACACGUGGGUGAUCUGCCCUGCACUUCGGGAUAAGCCUGGGAAACUGGGUCUAAUACCGGAUAGGACGAUGGUUUGGAUGCCAUUGUGGAAAGUUUUUUCGGUGUGGGAUGAGCUCGCGGCCUAUCAGCUUGUUGGUGGGGUAAUGGCCUACCAAGGCGUCGACGGGUAGCCGGCCUGAGAGGGUGUACGGCCACAUUGGGACUGAGAUACGGCCCAGACUCCUACGGGAGGCAGCGGUGGGGAAUAUUGCACAAUGGGCGCAAGCCGGAUGCAGCGACGCCGCGUGGGGGAUGACGGCCUUCGGGUGGUAAACUCCUUUCGCUAGGGACGAAGCGCAAGUGACGGUACCGGGAGAAGAAGCACCGGCUAACUACGU